rnacentral:sRNA from 1 species
GGGCCUUGAACGUGUCUGUGAGUUUAUUUGUAGUGUACAAUAAUGAAGAAAAUAUAAUUAAUACUUCUAGCUCUGAAUUUGAAAUACGCCGUGAGACCCACUGAGGUUUAUUAGACACGUUCAAACCCAUGGGAGGACAAGAACAAACUCACCAAGGAGGACAAGAACAAACUCACCAAGGAGGACAAGAACAAACUCACCAGGGAGGACAAUAACAAACUCACCAAGGAGGACAAGAACAAACUCACCAGGGAGGACAAUAACAAACUCACCAAGGAGGACAAUAACAAACUCACCAAGGAGGACAAUAACAAACUCACCAAGGAGGACAAGAACAAACUCACCAAGGAGGACAAGAACAAACUCACCAAGGAGGACAAGAACAAACUCACCAAGGAGGACAAGAACAAACUCACCAAGGA